AUUCGAUUAGAGUUUGAUCAUGGCUCAGGAUGAACGCUGGCGGCGUGCUUAACACAUGCAAGUCGAACGAACCUUCGGGUUAGUGGCGGACGGGUGAGUAACGCGUGAGAAUCUGCCCUCAGGAGGGGGAUAACGGUUGGAAACGACCGCUAAUACCCCAUAUGCCUACUGGCGAAAUGAAUUUCGCCUGAGGAUGAGCUCGCGUCUGAUUAGCUAGUUGGUGAGGUAAUGGCUCACCAAGGCUUCGAUCAGUAGCUGGUCUGAGAGGAUGAUCAGCCACACUGGGACUGAAACACGGCCCAGACUCCUACGGGAGGCAGCAGUGGGGAAUUUUCCGCAAUGGGCGAAAGCCUGACGGAGCAACGCCGCGUGAGGGACGAAGGCCUCUGGGCUGUAAACCUCUUUUCUCAAGGAAGAAGAUAUGACGGUACUUGAGGAAUAAGCCACGGCUAAUUCCGUGCCAGCAGCCGCGGUAAUACGGGAGUGGCAAGCGUUAUCCGGAAUUAUUGGGCGUAAAGCGUCCGCAGGCGGCUUUUCAAGUCUGCUGUUAAAGCGUGGAGCUUAACUCCAUUAUGGCAGUGGAAACUGAAAGGCUUGAGUAUGGUAGGGGCAGAGGGAAUUCCCGGUGUAGCGGUGAAAUGCGUAGAUAUCGGGAAGAACACCAGUGGCGAAGGCGCUCUGCUGGGCCAUUACUGACGCUCAUGGACGAAAGCCAGGGGAGCGAAAGGGAUUAGAUACCCCUGUAGUCCUGGCCGUAAACGAUGAACACUAGGUGUCGGGGGAAUCGACCCCUUCGGUGUCGUAGCUAACGCGUUAAGUGUUCCGCCUGGGGAGUACGCACGCAAGUGUGAAACUCAAAGGAAUUGACGGGGGCCCGCACAAGCGGUGGAGUAUGUGGUUUAAUUCGAUGCAACGCGAAGAACCUUACCAGGGUUUGACAUCCUGCGAACCUCUUAGAAAUUUGAGGGUGCCUUCGGGAAUGCAGUGACAGGUGGUGCAUGGCUGUCGUCAGCUCGUGUCGUGAGAUGUUGGGUUAAGUCCCGCAACGAGCGCAACCCACGUUUUUAGUUGCCAGCAUUUAGUUGGGCACUCUAGAAAGACCGCCGGUGAUAAACCGGAGGAAGGUGUGGAUGACGUCAAGUCAUCAUGCCCCUUACACCCUGGGCUACACACGUACUACAAUGCUACGGACAAAGGGCAGCAAACUCGCGAGAGCUAGCAAAUCCCAUAAACCGUGGCUCAGUUCAGAUCGUAGGCUGCAACUCGCCUACGUGAAGUAGGAAUCGCUAGUAAUCGCAGGUCAGCAUACUGCGGUGAAUACGUUCCCGGGCCUUGUACACACCGCCCGUAA
rnacentral:rRNA from 1 species